AAUCAACGCUGGCGGCGUGCCUAACACAUGCAAGUCGAACGAGAAGGUGACUUCGGUCACUGGAUAGUGGCGUCCGGGUGAGUAACACGUAGGUAAUCUACCUUCGGGUGGGGAAUAACGUCUCGAAAGAGACGCUAAUACCGCAUAAUGCAGCGGCACCUAAUGGUGAUUAGUUGUUAAAGCGGGGGAUCUUCGGACCUCGCGCCUGAAGAGGAGCCUGCGGCAGAUUAGCUAGUUGGUGAGGUAAUGGCUCACCAAGGCUUCGAUCUGUAGCUGGUCUGAGAGGACGGCCAGCCACACUGGCACUGACACACGGGCCAGACUCCUACGGGAGGCAGCAGU
rnacentral:rRNA from 1 species